CGCGUAGGUGGUUCGAUCGGUCGGAGGUGAAAGCCCUCGGCUCAACCGAGGAUCCGCGUCCGAUACUGUCGAACUUGAGUGCAGGAGAGGAGAGCGGAAUUCCCAGUGUAGCGGUGAAAUGCGUAGAUAUUGGGAGGAACACCGGUGGCGAAGGCGGCCCUCUGGACUGCCACUGACACUGAGGCGCGAAAGCUAGGGGAGCAAACGGGAUUAGAUACCCCGGUAGUCCUAGCCGUAAACGAUGGGCACUAGGUGUGGGAGGUAUCGACCCCUUCCGUGCCGCAGCUAACGCACUAAGUGCCCCGCCUGGGGAGUACGGCCGCAAGGUUGAA
rnacentral:rRNA from 1 species